AUUGAACGCUGGCGGCAGGCCUAACACAUGCAAGUCGAACGGUAACAGGAAACAGCUUGCUGUUUCGCUGACGAGUGGCGGACGGGUGAGUAAUGUCUGGGAAACUGCCUGAUGGAGGGGGAUAACUACUGGAAACGGUAGCUAAUACCGCAUAACGUCGCAAGACCAAAGAGGGGGACCUUCGGGCCUCUUGCCAUCGGAUGUGCCCAGAUGGGAUUAGCUAGUAGGUGGGGUAACGGCUCACCUAGGCGACGAUCCCUAGCUGGUCUGAGAGGAUGACCAGCCACACUGGAACUGAGACACGGUCCAGACUCCUACGAGAGGCAGCAGUGGGGAAUAUUGCACAAUGGGCGCAAGCCUGAUGCAGCCAUGCCGCGUGUAUGAAGAAGGCCUUCGGGUUGUAAAGUACUUUCAGCGGGGAUGAAGGGAGUAAAGUUAAUACCUUUGCUCAUUGACGUUACCCGCAGAAGAAGCACCGGCUAACUCCGUG
rnacentral:rRNA from 1 species